rnacentral:lncRNA from 1 species
CCAAGUCUCGGUGCUGAAUCUUCCUGUUCUGUGCCCUUUGUGUCCUCACAGUUCCUGGUGGAGAACAGAUGUGCGGUCAAUGGACAGACCACAGGGCUGGCUGGAGCUUUAGGAUAAGAUUUAUUGCAUUGUUUGAGGGAAAACAUCUCUCAGAAUGAGAAUUCACUGUAUAGAGCUGUCUCCAUGAAGGAAAUGUCCAGCUAGGAACUACAACUUCUUGCUGUUUGCGGACAGAAAGAUG